GACCAGCCCUCAAGCACCGUAGAAGCGCUGCGGGACACAACCCCGUGCCUCCUGCUCUCCACUGCUCACCUGGCCGCACUCUCGCUUCCUCCGGACGCCUCACUGGUGAGGACGCACCUGGGGACAGAGCGGGACGGUCCCACGCCUCCACCUGGACCUGGGAGCACCCAGCAGGGCGACAGGCGCCCGGAACAGACCCCACACUCGGCGGGAGGGCGGCGCAGGCUGCGGGCAGGGCCGCCCCCGCGGAAGAAGCGCGCCGCCCCCGCCGCCCCCCGCCGCCCCCCGCCGCCCGCAGGUGGCGCUGCCUGCAGCCGCGCUCAGCCCCGCCGCCGCCGCCGCCGCCGCCGCCGAGCCGGCCGGGCUAGCGCAGCCCCCCGGCGCCGGCCGCAGCCCCUGGGCCCUCCCGCGGCUUCCUCGGCGGGGCCGCGCUUCCCCCGCCUCCCCUCCCUCCUUUUUCCCUCCCUCUCUCCUUCCCUCCAUCCCUCCCGCCGCGCUCCGCGCAUCGCUGCCUCCCCCGUCCCCACGCCAGGCGGACACGGGGGCGCCGCCGCGGCCGUCCGGUGGCCCCCCCGCUCCCGCGGCCAGCGGAGCCGAGCGGAGCCGAGCCGAGCCAAGCAGAGACGAGACGAGCCGAGCCGAGCCGGGAGCCGGCGGGUGCCCGUGGGUGCGGCGCGGGAGGUGGGCGAGCGGCGCGGGGAAUGGAGGACCCCAAAAGCAGCCUGGGGGCCGUGUGACAGCCGGCGGCGCUCGCACACACGCACACGCUCGAAGCGGCCGGGAGCCGGACCCCGGUGCAGAGCCGGGCAGCAGCGCCCUGCCCCGUCCCGCGGGGAGCCAGCAUGGAGUGAGAGCAGCGUGCCGCCACCAGGUAAGGCGGGCAGGGUUCCCCGAAGGGACUCGGAGGACGUGAGGGCUCGGGGGUGGCGUUUCGGUGCCCUGCGGCUCGUGUCGGACGCGUUCCUCCAGCCCCCCACACGCACCCCCCAAGUAACGCCCUUCCCCGAGACCCCCGGCAGCCACGGCGGCGGUGCGGGGGGAUGCGGGGCGCGUUACUUAUGUAACCGGGGGGCGAGCGGUCUCAGCCGCUCCCCGCUGGGCAGACGGCGAGCUGGCGGGCGGGGAGCAGACAGGGAACACGGUAUGGAGGGCGACGGGGGGCUGGCGGUCGGCCCCAGUGGCCCCGUUUCCAGCUGCCGUCGCGGGAGCCUCUCGAGAGGGAGCCCCGCGCCCUCGGGCAGAGCGGUGUCGCCGCGGACCCGGCCGGGGCUGCGCGGGGUUCCCCACGCUCCGGGGCUCGGCAGCCGGCACCCGCCGACAGCGUUGAGAGGGAGAGCCCCGUUCCUCCCAGUCGACCCUCCCCGGCGGCGCUCCGUCUGGGAAAAACUUCAAAGGGAAGGGUGUAGGGGGGCUGUUUUGGCUGCUCCCGUCCCACUCCUCCUCUGGGAGGCCAGCGGGGGGCGGCCCCGCUGGGGGGGAGCCGGGGUCGCGCUGGGCUGA
rnacentral:lncRNA from 1 species